AUGCAAUGAGUGUCAUAGGCUUCCUGAAGCAUUAUGACCUGGACAGCCAUUUCAAACUGAACAUCGAACCCAACCACACCACUCUGGCUGGGCAUUCCUAUGAACACGACGUCGUCAUGGCCUCUGUGUAAAUCGCCAUGUUGACUUUCACGUUUCCCAAACCGACCCCCUAUCACCUGCUCUCUACCUCGAUGGACUUGUGUAGGUCUGGAGAGAUUGAAUAGGUCGAAUCAAUAUGUUAAUGCGCCACCUUGCCCUCCGGUAGGGUAGAUGUAAUGAUAGGGGAGUUAUAAUUUUCACCAUAUUUUUUACACCUUUCAGAAGUGUAUAGGGGGUAGGGCCUAGUGGUCUUUUUUGGACUGGGUGGUUGAUGUCAUUCCUGGUAAUCUGGAUGUUCCAGUCCAGUUAACCUAAUAAGCUUGUUGUUCUGGUGUGUAGGUUUGGCAUGCUGGGCUUUGUGGACUCCAACAUGGGUUUUUAUUUAUUUAUUUUUUAUUUCACCUUUAUUUAACCAGGUAGGCAAGUUGAGAACAAGUUCUCAUUUACAACUGCGACCUGGCCAAGAUAAAGCAAAGCAGUUCGACACAUACAACAACACAGAGUUGGAGUAACACAUGGAGUAAAACAAACAUACAGUAGAAAAAUAAGUAUAUAUACAAUGUGAGCACAUAAGGUGAGAUAAGGGAGGUAAAGGCAAUAAAUAGGCCAUGGUGGCGAAGUAAAUGCAAUAUAGCAAUUAUAACACUGGAAUGGUAGAUUUGACAGUAGAUGAGUGUGCAAAGUAGAAAUACUGGGGUGCAAAGGAGCAAAAUAAAUAAAUACAGUAGGGGAAGAGGUAGUUGUUUGGGCUAUGUACAGGUGCAGUGAUCUGUGAGCUACUCUGACAGCUGGUGAGGGAGAUAAGUGUUUCCAGUUUCAGAGAUUUUUGUAGUUCGUUCCAGUCAUUGGCAGCAGAGAACUGGGUUCUCCUGACCUGACCUGGGCUGGGACACAGACCAGUUCCCCAUGGACAUCAGGAACACCACCAUGAUCAUGAAGAUGACAUAGGAGAUAAUACUGUGAUAGAGCAGGGUGGUCUGCAGCCGGGGGGUCUGAACUUCAAUGCUAAGGUGCGUAGGGAGUCCACAGACCUGGAGGACCUGUUCAUAGCCCACAUCGGAGCCAUGGACGCCUUCGCAUGCGGCCUGAGGAAUGCGGUCAGGAUCAUAGAGGAAGGAGUUAUGACCAGCAUGGUCAAGGAGCGCUACAUGAGCUUCAGCCAUGGGAUUGGUCAGAAAGUAGAGGAUGGCAGCGCCUCAUUGGAGGAGCUAGAGGUGAGGUCACUAGUGGAAUAACAAUGUAGUACCAUCUCUACAGCACUCAUGUGUUUGUAACAACACUGUUGAUUCAAUGCUAAGAAAUCAGUAUCAUGUAAAUGGCAAUUUUUGUUGUUUAUUCUCAGGACUUUGUCAAGCAAAAUGAGCAGCCCAAAGUCACAUCAGGAGAAAUUUGAAACAGUCUUUAACCACUACCUGUGAAGACAUGUGGUGAAGUCUUGUUUGACCAUGACACCCCUUGUCCUGAGUGUUAGUGUCCAUCCUGACCUUUCAUAAUCGUAUUCAUGCACAGUGUUAUAGUUUCAUGUGACUAACUACUAUUACAGUUAUAGUAUAAAUAAUUAAUCAGUGGAUGAGUCUUGUGAAUGUGGACUAUUUUAAUGCACACUCCUGUAAUGUUGACAUGAUUCGAUUGUGAGGCCAUCAAUGGUAAAAACCAGAAAUAUGAAUUUAAUGGAGUAUAAAUUAUAUGGCAUUUCAAAUAUUGAAUUAAUGAAGGAAUUAAUUAAUUGACCACUGAUCGAUUGGUAGAGUUUUUCAUACUGGAGUUGUAUACAAAGAAGCAAACCCUAUUGUGUCAGUGUUUAGCAUUACUAUUAUAGUUAUUAACAUAAAUAUAAAUAUAUAGUGUUGCUACUUAGCUUCUAAUGUUAUAGUAACAUUAAAAAUGUCCUAGUAGGGGUCUUGGCAAAAAGACUUUAAAAAAAAACGUUAUGCAAUAUUUAAUAAGGCUCCCCAACAUAAACUAGGAUGCCCUCAGAAAUAAAAUACAUGUUUGUAUUGAUAUCCUCACAAUCCAACAUAUCUACAUAAUCAACCCAAGGCAAAAUACCGGUAUGUAACACAAUCCAUAACAGCGUUAUUUCCUAUGUCUGGCAAAGAGUCCUGACUGCGAACCGGUUUGGUAACUUCCUCCGUAGUGUAACAUUGUAGACCAAUAGACCCCUUUCCAGCAUAUGACACACUGACAGUAAGAAAGACAAAGCCUACAUUUACGUUUGUAUUACUUAUAAAUAAAAUAACUUUUUGGGGUUCUCAUACGCUUACAACGAAGUUUUGAAUCUUGCUUGAACAGUCGCUAAGAUUAUUUGGUUGUGAUCUUUGUAAAAUAACUAUUUUGGAUGCAGCAGUUGUUAGCUAGAAUGCUAACGCUCGUUGACAUAGGCUGUAGCAAAAGCUAGCCAAAGAGCCAUUUUGCUGGUUGAAGUUGAAGUGUUUUUUAAAAAGUAUAAUGCAGUUGAUUUGCGAUGAUGACACAAACAAGACAUUCAUACAAGGCUUAAAAUCAAAUUAUAACAAAAAGUAGUAUGAAAUGCACUCAUAAGCAACAUGUAAAUACUGGCUCUUUCCCCUGUGUCCUAUAAGAACUUCCACUUGUUCUGCCAUCAAUUUACACGCAUCGCCAUCGUGUGGCAAUGUGUGCAAACACAGAAAAGGGUCUAUAGACACCUUUCCAGUGACAUCAUAUCAUACUAUCCUCUCUCAGCCAGCGCUCCAACCAGCAGCCGAGGAUUGGCCAAUGGCCUGAUAGCGUGAGCUCUGCUCACCGAUGUGUUGUUCUUGAUUGGACGGUUCAGAUUCAGAGAGGGCGGGACACCAAACCUGCGAACCCGAGUUUGUACCUAUCUCAUUAUCAUAAAAUAAUUAGCAUGUCGGGUGGAAUAAUUGUCAUGGUUUUUAAUACUUUUCUUUUGGAUUAACGGAUAUUUAUAUAUAUUAAAUAUUACUGGGGCUACGAUCUGCUAAAGUAACUGAAAUAGGAUGCUCAAGUCUACGCCAGUAAAUAUAAUAUUUGUUCUUUUUGAAAUAAUAAUUGCUGAACUGUGAUGAGAUUUUAUUGGACAAUUGAUUCUAUUUCAUGAUCUUGGCUACUUUUUGUUUUUGCGAUUUAGUUUCAGGUUAUAGGUUAGGAAACAUUCUGAACAGUGGUCAUUUAUUGAAUGAGUUAGCCUAUUCAGUUCAAGUAGCCU
ensembl:lncRNA